AAAAUAGUAAGAUAACAUAAUCUCUCUCUCUUCAAAAGAGAAAAUGGAACUCUCUCCCU
rnacentral:tRNA from 1 species